UACAUGGGGUGCAAACGUUGCUCGGAAUUAUUGGGCGUAAAGCGCACGUAGGCGGUUUGUUAAGUCGGAUGUGAAAUCCCUCGGCUCAACUGAGGAAGUGCAUCCGAAACUGGCAGGCUUGAGUACUAAAGAGGGUCGCGGAAUUCCCGGUGUAGAGGUGAAAUUCGUAGAUAUCGGGAGGAACACCGGUGGCGAAGGCGGCGACCUGGGUAGAUACUGACGCUGGAGGUGACGAAAGCGGUGGGGAGCAAACAGG
rnacentral:rRNA from 1 species